rnacentral:rRNA from 1 species
ACUCCUACGGGAGGCAGCAGUGGGGAACUCUUAGACAAUGGGCGCAAGCCUGAUCUAGCCAUGCCGCGGUGAUCGAUGAAGGCCUUAGGGUUAGUAAAGAUCUUUCAGAUGGGAAGAUAAUGACGGUACCAUCAGAAGAAAGCCCCGCGUACACUCCGUGCCAGCAGCCGCGGUAAUACGGAGGGGCUAGCGUUAUUCGGAAUUACUGGGCGUAAAGCGCACGUAGGCGGAUCAGAAAGUCAGAGGUGAAAUCCCAGGGCUCAACCUUGGAACUGCCUUUGAAACUCCUGUCUUGAGUUCGAGAGA